UUGUGAUUCUUGAGCCCGUAAACCCAGUCUUCCACCGUACGCCUCCGUCGCCCAAAAGUCCAAACCCUAAACCCCACGAAGAGGCCAAAACACUCCAAACCCAAAACCGAGGAAGCGAUUUCCUGCCCCCAUUCCCUAUUUCUCCUUCCUCUCUUCAAUCCGCUUCCAUCAAUCAUCCAUGGCGGAGCAAAAUCAAUAGAUGGAUACCGGAAUAGGAUCCGCAACCUAGACCCGUGCAAUCGCUCCUGCACCAACCGGAGGAGGUGAACCCGAAGCCGGGGAGGAGGGACCGGAGGGUCGCGGGGCAAGAUGAGCACGGUGGACAAGAUGCUCAUCAAGGGCAUCCGGAGCUUCGACCCGGACAACAAGAACGUCAUCACCUUCUUCAAGCCGCUCACCCUCAUCGUCGGCCCCAACGGCGCCGGCAAGACCACUAUCAUCGAGUGCCUGAAGCUGUCCUGCACCGGCGAGCUGCCCCCCAACUCGCGCUCCGGCCACACCUUCGUGCAUGACCCUAAGGUAGCUGGUGAGACGGAAACAAAAGGGCAGAUUAAGCUGCGGUUUAAGACUGCAGCAGGAAAGGAUGUGGUGUGCAUCCGAUCCUUCCAGCUUACCCAAAAGGCAUCAAAGAUGGAGUUUAAGGCAAUCGAAAGCAUUCUCCAGACUAUAAAUCCACACACGGGCGAGAAGGUCUGCCUCAGCUACAGAUGUGCUGACAUGGAUAGAGAGAUUCCAGCCUUAAUGGGUGUUUCAAAGGCUGUACUAGAGAAUGUUAUAUUUGUCCACCAAGAUGAGUCCAAUUGGCCAUUGCAGGAUCCGUCAACGCUUAAGAAGAAGUUUGAUGACAUUUUCUCUGCUACUCGGUAUACCAAAGCUCUUGAAGUCAUAAAGAAACUUCACAAGGAUCAAGCACAAGAGAUCAAGAAUUUUAGGUUGAAACUGGAGAACCUUCAGACUGUAAAAGACCAAGCAUAUAAGCUCCGUGAAAAUAUUGCUCAAGAUGAAGAGAAGUCAGAUGCCUCAAAAUCUCAAAUGGAGCAACUGAAGGCAAAGAUCCAAGGUAUCGAGAAUGAAAUCCUGCAUAUGAAAACAAAUUUGGAUGAACUGAGAAGACUUCAGGGGCAAAUUAGCACCAAGGCAACGGAGAGAAGUACAUUAUUUACACUUCAGCAGCAGCAGUAUGCUGCACUUUCUGAGGAAAAUGAAGAUACUGAUGAAGAACUAAUGGAAUGGCAAGCAAAAUUUGAAGAAAGGAUUGCACUACUAGAAACAAAAAUCAGUAAAUUAGGUAGAGAGAUGGAUGAUGAAGCAGCGGAGACCUCCAGGCUGUCCCAUACAAUCUCUGUUUUAACACGUGAAAUAGGAAAGCUCCAAGCUGAAGCUGAUGCUCACAUGUCUAUUAAGCAGGAACGAGACUCAGACAUCAAAAGGAUAUUCACCAAACAUAAUUUUGGGCCAGUUCCUGAAUUUCCCUUUACAAAUGAUGUUGCUAUGAACCUUACAAACAGGAUUAAAGCUAGGCUCUCAGAUCUUGAGAAUGAUUUGCAGGAGAAGAAGAAAUCCAAUGACGACCAGUUAGAUGUUUUGUGGAAACACUAUCUUAAAGUAAAUGCUCGCUACUCUGAAGUUGAUGGUCAGAUACAGUCUAAGAUUGAAUCCAUGUCAGGUCUUUCAAGGCGCACUAAAGAUAAAGAGAAAGAACGUGAUGCUGCAGAAGUGGAGCUUUCAAAAAUUAAUCUGUCUCGUCUUGAUGAAAGGGAGAGACAUUUGCAAAUUGAAGUUGAGAGGAAGACACUUGCCCUUGGAGAAAGAGACUAUGAUUUAAUUAUAAAUCAGAAGCGGACAGAUAUAUUCAGUUUGGAACAUAAAAUAAAAACACUUCAGCGGGAGAAAGAUAACAUAAAUAGAGAUGCUGACGACAGAGUAAAACUGGGUUUGAAGAAGGAUGCAUUGGAAACCAUCAAGGAGAAGCUCAAUGAGAUGGUUAAUGAGCACAAGGACAAAAUCAGAAGUGUACUUAGGGGUAGGCUUCCAGCUGAGAAGGAUAUGAAGAAGGAGAUCAGUCAAGCUUUUUGGCCUGUUGACAAGGAAUACAAUGAGUUAAAAUCAAAAUCCCUGGAAGCAGAGCAAGAGUUUAAAUUGGCUCAGAGCAAGGUGUCUGAUGCUAAAGAACAAUUAACAAAGCUUCAAAAAGAUUUGGAUGCAAAGAGGAGAUUCCUGGAUUCGAAGCUUCAAUCUAUUUCACAGAUAUCUGCUGACGUUGACAUGUUUCCCAAAGUUCUGCAAGAUGCCAAGAACAAAAGAGAUGAACAGAAAAGAUUAGAGAGUUAUGCAAAUGGAAUGCGGCAGAUGUUUGUACCUUUUGAACAAGUGGCUCGUGAUCGUCAUGUAUGUCCAUGCUGCGAACGUGCUUUUACACCUGAUGAGGAGGAUGAGUUUGUAAAGAAACAAAGGAUGCAGAGCGCAAGUACUGCAGAGAGAGUUAAAGCUCUGGCAAUUGAAUCCUCAGAUGCUGAAACUUUUCUUCAGCAACUGGAUAAACUUCGUACUAUCUAUGAUGAUUAUAAGAAGCUGUUAGAAGAGACUAUACCUCUAGCAGAGAAGAACUUGAAUCAACGUUUAGCGGAUGAAAGUCAGAAGGAACAAACAUUUGAUGAUCUUUUGGGUGUUCUUGCUCAAGUUAAAAUGGACAGGGAUGCAGUGGAAGCCUUGUUAAAACCAACUGAUACUAUUGACAGGCAUGUACGUGAAAUACAACAGCUUGUCCAAGAAGUAGAAGAUCUUGAAUACAAACUUGAUUCUCUUGGCCAAGGUGUUAAAUCUUUGGAGGAAAUUCAACUGGAGCUGAAUUCUGUGCAGAGGGCAAGGGACACAUUGAGUAUUGAAGUGGAUGAUCUUAGGGAUCAGCACAGAACACUAAAUGAUGAUUUGGCAAGUGCUCAGGUGAGAUGGCACACUGUUCGGGAAGAGAAGAUAAAAGCUUCACACAUAUUGGACAGAUUCAAAGAAGCUGAAGCGGAAUUGGUGCAUCUAGCUGAGGAAAAAGAACAACUGACCAUAGAAAAGAAGCUUUUAGAAGAGUCUCUUGAUCCAUUGUCUAAAGAGAAAGAGAGCUUGUUGCAAGACUAUAAUGCUUUGAAGCAAAGGUUUGAUGAAGAAUAUCAUCGGCUGGCAGAAAGAAAAAGGGUCUUCCAGCAAGAACUUGAUGCACUCGGAAGACUCAAUCUGAAGAUCAAAGAAUAUUUGGAUUCCAAGAAAGUGGAAAGGCUUAAUGAGAUUCAGGAAAAGCAUUCUCUUAAGCAAUCCGAGUUACAGAAUUGUGAGGCAAAAAAGCAAGCCAUAUCAGUUGAAUUAAACAAGAGCAAAGAACUACUGCAGGGUCAGGGCCAGUUGAAAAGAAAUAUUGAUGACAAUCUCAGCUACAGGAAAACAAAGGCUGAAGUGGAUCGACUUACUCGUGAUAUAGAGUCACUUGAAGAGAGAAUGCUUUCAAUAGGCAGCUCGUCUGCUAUAGAAGCUGAUCUGAAGCGUCAUUCUCAAGAAAGAGAUAGGCUUAAUUCAGAGUUUAACAGGUGUCAAGGAACACUUUCUGUCUAUCAAAGUAAUAUUUUAAAGCACAAGCAAGAGCUUAAACAGACGCAGUACAAAGAUAUCGAGAAGCGAUACACUAGUCAACUUCUACAACUUAAGACAACUGAAAUGGCAAACAAGGACUUGGACAGAUAUUAUUCCGCUUUAGACAGAGCUCUCAUGCGUUUCCACACUAUGAAGAUGGAGGAGAUUAAUAAAAUAAUCAAGGAACUGUGGCAGCAGACAUACAGAGGCCAAGAUAUCGAUUACAUAAGCAUCAAUUCUGAUUCUGAGGGUGCUGGCACUCGAUCGUACAGCUACCGGGUUGUUAUGCAAACGGGUGAUGCUGAGCUAGAAAUGCGAGGGCGAUGCAGUGCUGGACAGAAGAGCCAUAUCUUACAACGAUAUCUGCACUCAUCUUCAGGUGCUUGCUUCUCUUAUAAUCAGACUAGCACUGGCGGAGACAUUCUGUCUGAACUGUGGCAUAUUGGCAUUGGAUGAGCCGACUACGAAUCUAGAUGGCCCAAAUGCCGAGAGCCUUGCGGCUGCGCUGUUGAGAAUAAUGGAGGCCAGAAAAGGGCAGGAGAACUUCCAGCUGAUCGUAAUCACUCACGACGAGAGGUUCGCCCAUCUUAUUGGUCAAAGGCAGCUUGCUGAGAAGUACUAUCGAGUCUCCAAGGAUGAAAACCAGCACAGCAUAAUUGAAGCCCAAGAGAUAUUUGACUGAAGCACAUACAUAUAUUUCCAACCGAGUGCUGUUAAUUUAUGCUAAAGGUUGGUGCGAAAGCAAGGUUAAGGUCGGAGAAUUAACAAGCUGUAGGGGGUGUGACAAUUAACUUGCGAGUUUGGCUGCGCUGGCUUUGCUUUGUUGUGUAUAGAAACUGGCUAGAGGAUGGACUGUACGCACCGAGUGCUGCUGCAUACAAGUGCCUCAGCAUCAAAGAACAUAUAGCAAUUUAAUGCAUUAGAUUUAGCUCCGUUUUUUCCCCUCU